UACAGAGGGUGCAAGCGUUGUUCGGAAUUAUUGGGCGUAAAGCGCGCGCAGGCGGUCUUUUAAGUCUGGUGUUUAAACCUGGGGCUCAACUCCGGGUCGCAUUGGAAACUGGGAGGCUUCGAGUGCAGAAGAGGAGAGUGGAAUUCCACGUGUAGCGGUGAAAUGCGUAGAGAUGUGGAGGAACACCAGUGGCGAAGGCGACUCUCUGGGCUGUAACUGACGCUGAGGCGCGAAAGCGUGGGGAGCAAACAGG
rnacentral:rRNA from 1 species